rnacentral:misc_RNA from 1 species
CGGCCUAACAUGGAAAAGGAUUGAAUGGAAUAUGUAGCCCCACCGUCCAUUAAAAUCCUACAGUUAACCAAGAACAAUAUCAUUACCAAACCACAAAGGCACGCAUUAUGGUUUCAUAUUUACAGAACAAAACGUGGUUGUCCCUUUUCUUUCGGCUUGGCAACAAAGUGUGGUUUUACCAUGAUCAUGUUUUUCAGGCAAAAGAUAAAUCGGUGUUGAGUGAAAGGACGUCAAGACUAGAAAGAAAAGGGCAAUCCACACUAACACAAAUGAUUUCAUCUAACUUUAGA